rnacentral:rRNA from 1 species
UACGUAGGGGGCGAGCGUUAUCCGGAUUUAUUGGGCGUAAAGCGUGUGUAGGCGGCUUAUUAAGUUUAAGAUUAAAGUCCGGGGCUUAACUCCGGUUCGUCUUAGAAACUGGUAGGCUUGAGUAUGGUAGAGGCAGACGGAAUUUCUAGUGUAGCGGUGAAAUGCGUAGAUAUUAGAAGGAACACCAGUGGCGAAAGCGGUUUGCUGGGCCAUCACUGACGCUGAGGCACGAAAGCGUGGGGAGCAAAUA